AUGAAAAAGUCAAACCUCCUACCAAGAUGAUUCACUUGCAGGCCAGCAACGGUUUCUUCUUUCUGAAAACUUAUUUGGAGGAGAUGGUUUGGAUGAAGCAUGCCUUACACACAGGACGACCUCUGGCAGUAUGCUUAAAAACCCUGGCAAAUCCAUCAUUUUCAGCAAAGAAGAUUUUGUCCUCCAAAACACCCAGUGAACAGAAUUUGUCAGGUAGUAAAGACUCUGGGAAGACAUGCACUAUGUCAAUUAAUACACAAGCAAUUGACCCUGAGGAGGAGUACAGACUUAGGUAAUGACUUAAAAUUAUUACACUGGAUAAAAUGUAAUAAAUAUAAACAAAGAAAUGUGAUAGUGUAGUCUUUGCUCAUGAUAACACUGCCACAUUAUUGAAAUCUUUGUUGUAGUAUUUGCAGUACAUGGAUCUAUAUUCCCUGCAUUCUAUGAAGAGGACAAAC